rnacentral:rRNA from 1 species
UACGGGGGGGGCAAGCGUUGUUCGGAAUUACUGGGCGUAAAGGGUUUGUAGGUGGCUUGUUAAGUCAGACGUGAAAUCCCUCAGCUUAACUGGGGAACUGCGUCUGAUACUGGCGAGCUUGAGUGCGGGAGAGGAACGCGGAAUUCCAGGUGUAGCGGUGAAAUGCGUAGAUAUCUGGAGGAACACCGGUGGCGAAGGCGGCGUUCUGGACUGCAACUGACACUGAGAAACGAAAGCCAGGGUAGCAAACGGG